ensembl:lncRNA
AAUUUUCACGACAGAGUAACCGUAGUAGAGCAACAGGAUGGAAGGAGCCUACGUUCCUGAAAUUGUUUGUGAAAUUGCGACACCAAGCUUCUUGUCUAUUGUAGACUUUUACACUAGGGGAUUCCUUUUUCCUUCUUUAAUUUCUUUUGCAGAUCAGCAUAUUCUUGAUACAUUUAGUGCAGAAGUCUCAACUCACUUCAAAUUCAGACUUUAUUUUUCGUCUUCUCUGUUAUAUAUGUCUCAACAGCUGGGCCUGGUGGUGUAAGCAGAACCAAGAGGAUUGAUCAAAAUUCAAGGCCAAGACUACCUAGGGAGAGCGUCAGCCACUGUUGGCUCAGCCUUCCUGCAUCAACUAACAAUCAAGAAAAUUCUACACAGUGACUAACUGGAGAACGACCUCUGUCUGACUGCUCUGGUAGAUGGUAGACUCAUGAUGGCACAUCAACUUGGUGGGAAAAGAACAUUUUGAGAUUGAGUAUCUCCAGUGGAAAAGUUCUGCCAUGCUAAGCUGUGUCAAGCUGGCAGCUCAAGCUAAUGAGGACUACCACCACUGCUUUCAGGAGUGAACUGUUGCAAAAUGG